UACGAAGGGGGCUAGCGUUGCUCGGAAUCACUGGGCGUAAAGCGCACGUAGGCGGAUCUUUAAGUCAGGGGUGAAAUCCUGAAGCUCAACUCCAGAACUGCCUUUGAUACUGGGGAUCUCGAGUCCGGGAGAGGUGAGUGGAACUGCGAGUGUAGAGGUGAAAUGCGUAGAUAUUGGGAGGAACACCAGUGGCGAAGGCGGCUCACUGGACUGGUACUGACGCUGAUGGCGCGAAAAGCGUGGGGAGCAAACAGG
rnacentral:rRNA from 1 species